GACGAACGCUGGCGGCGUGCUUAACACAUGCAAGUCGAACGAAGUGGCGAACGGGUGAGUAACGCGUAAUCAACCUGCCCUUCAGAGGGGGACAACAGUUGGAACCGACUGCUAAUACCCCAUACUGAAGAGCGGGAUUGCGUCUGAUUAGCUAGUUGGGGGGGUAACGGCCCACCAAGGCGAUGAUCAGUCGCCGGGCGGAGAGGAUGAACGGCCACAUGUGGACUGAGACACGGCCCAGACUUCUACGGGAGGCAGGAGUGGGGAAUCUUCCGCAAUGGACGAAAGUCUGACGGAGCAACGCCGCGGGAGUGAUGACGGCCUUCGGGGUGUAAAGCUCUGUUAAUCGGGACGCGGUACCGGAAUAGAAAGCCACGGCUAACUACGUGCCAGCAGCCGCGGUAAUAC
rnacentral:rRNA from 1 species